AUAGCCAUCAGCCAUUUUCUCUGGGCUUAAUCCCCGAGUACUUCCAGGAAUUUCUGCAGCGGAGAGGCCACUGGCUCCUUCACAAAACAGCCACGGAUUAGGGGCCCCUGUGGAGGUCUGCCCCUGAAUCUCAUUUCACGGCUCUGCCUCCCAGUGGUGGGCUUCCCUUAGCAUGCUGCUGCCUCCUCGGGCACGGUGUCCUUGGCUGAGGAUGCCGGCACCAGCUCUGAUCCUUCCUCUUUACUCUCAGACCACAGGCAGCUCUUGUAAUUGGGGGGCCCAUGCACUGAGCAAGCAGCGAGGUUCCCCCCCCCCCGCCCCCAUAGGCAACAGUCCGCCUUGGCGAACACUAUUUGUGAAGUGCAAAUGUGGAGGUGGUGAAAAAUGCGUGCUGGGAUUUCCCUGGACUCGCCUUGCUACAGGAACUUGCUUCGCUCACGGAAGUCCCCAACUCUUCUGCAACUUCUCCUCUGAAGUCCACAGGGACUCUGUCAUUCUGACAUGCCACAGAUCACAACGCUGGUUCCCUCCAUUGAAAGCAUAACACUGAUUGGACCUGGUGAGAUGGAAAUGACAGCUGCCUAGAGACCCUGUGAAGAUAACAUGAGUGUGAGAGUGACAGCUGCUGGAGACAGUCUGGAGAAUGUUUUCGGAGACGGCGUUUUCUGGGACACUUGGGUGGAUUAUGGGAAAAUGGAACAGCACGGUAAUUUAGCUGAGUCCUGGAAGAGCCGAGACAUAAGAUCCCCACGUCUCCACAUGUCCUAAUCUCUCAGAUUGUACUGAAGCUGUGGUAAACAAUUUAAGACCUGCUUGGGUAUGACAUGAGGCUUCCUCUUGGCUAUUUCUACCACUUCAUAUUGAAUGGAAGGAAAUUGCUGAAACCCUCAAAACACAGUCUGGCAGGAGGCAAAAUGCCUUGCUUGGCAUCCUGCCCUCACCCCUCCCACACCUGCAGCUGGGACCAUUUGGAUGCCCUGCACCCUCCCUGUCUUCCUUCAGCCUGAGCCCACAGUUCUCAGCUCUGGGCCCAACUCCAAAAUGAGAGCCCUACUGCCUACGAACAUGGGCCGCCUUUCCAGGUGAAGUAGGUACAAAACGAACAAUAUUUGGGGAGCCUGGGUGGCUCAGACGGUUAAGCAUCCGUCUUCAGCUCAAGUCAUGAUCUCUCGGUUCGUGAGUUUGAGCCCCUCAUUAGGCUCUAUGCUGGCAGCUUAGAGCCUGGAGCCUGCUUUGGGUUCUGUGUCUCCCUCUCUCUC